rnacentral:snoRNA from 1 species
AUGCCAGAUAAAACUUUUAUCAGUGUUUGUCUGAUUCAUGGGAGGCCAACAUUAAUGAUGAGAGUUUCGCUGAUAGCACCUUCUUGUUUAUUCCAGGAGGUGUUUAAUAGUAGCUUGUCAUACACAG